rnacentral:rRNA from 1 species
UACGAAGGGGGCUAGCGUUGUUCGGAAUUACUGGGCGUAAAGCGCGCGCAGGCGGUCUUCCAAGUCGGUGGUGAAAGCCUGGAGCUCAACUCCAGAACUGCCAUUGAAACUGUUAGACUUGAGUACGAGAGAGGUGAGUGGAAUUCCCAGUGUAGAGGUGAAAUUCGUAGAUAUUGGGAAGAACACCGGUGGCGAAGGCGGCUCACUGGCUCAUUACUGACGCUCAGGCGCGAUAGCGUGGGGAUCAAACAGG